AAGAGGGUUAGUCUUUAUAAUUAAAGAUACAGGGUUGUCAGCUCUGAGAGGUUAGUAUAUCUAACACCUUCUUU
rnacentral:tRNA from 1 species